rnacentral:rRNA from 1 species
UACAGAGGGUGCGAGCGUUUGUUCGGAAUUAUUGGGCGUAAAGGGCGCGUAGGCGGGCGCCACAAGUCACCUGUGAAAACUCUGGGCUCAACCCAGAGCCUGCAGGCGAAACUGUGGUGCUGGAGUAUGGGAGAGGUGCGUGGAAUUCCCGGUGUAGAGGUGAAAUUCGUAGAUAUUCGCAAGAACACCAGUGGCGAAGGCGGCUCACUGGCCCAUUAC